rnacentral:rRNA from 1 species
UUCGCAAUGCCCGAAAGGGUGACGAAGCGACGCCGCGUGGGUGAGGAAGGCCUUCGGGUUGUAAAGCCCUGUCAGGAGUUAAGAAAUGUAAGUGUGCUAAUAUCGCAUUUACUUGACGAAGGCUCCAAAGGAAGUCACGGCUAACUCUGUGCCAGCAGCCGCGGUAAUACAGAGGUGGCAAGCGUUGUUCGGAAUUAUUGGGCGGAAAGAGCACGUAGGUGGGUUUGUAAGUCAGAUGUGAAAGCCUCCUGUUCAACGGGAGAAUUGCAUCUGAAACUACUGAUCUUGAGUAUAGGAGGGGAGAAUGGAACUUCUGGUGGAGCGGUGAAAUGCGUAGAUAUCAGAAGGAACGCCGGCGGCGAAAGCGAUUCUCUGGCCUAUUACUGACACUCAGUGUGCGAAAGCUAGGGGAGCAAACGGGAUUAGAUACCCCGGUAGUCCUAGCCGUAAACGAUGGGCACUAAGUAGAGGGGUUUU